UUUAACCUACAAGGAAAUUUACUAAACUAUCAGUAAUAUAAAAAAAUAACAAGUUUGAAUCAAUCACCCUAGAAGAAAAACAGAAUUAUCACAUUCUUUCUGCAGAAAAUGAUAGCACAUUGUUCUAUGAAAGGGUCCUUAAAGAAGGCAGCCAAAAUACACAGAGAAGUAUUAUAGUCCCUUUUUGUAAAUUAGUCAAUCUGCUGAUGCUCUGUUGUUAGGUGCCCACACAUUAAGAAUUGUUCUAUCUUCCAGAGAAUUUUCUCCUUUAUCAUUAUACAUAUCACUCUUUACAUAAUGCUCCUGAUAACUUGCAUUAUUUUGAAUUCUGCUUUGUUUGAAAAUAACACAGGCACUCCCACUUACAUUUGGUUCAUGUUAUCCUAAUUGGUUUUCCUCCAUCCACUUAUUUUUAAUCUAUAUUUUUCUUUAUAUUUAAAGUAGGUGUUUUGUAGACAACAUACAAUUGGGUCUGUUUAUCCACACUGAUAACUCCUGUCUUUUAAUUAGUGCAUUUAGACCAUAUUAAAAAUUAUUAUUUAUGUAGUUGGAUUAAUAUCAACAAUUAAUGCUUUCUAUUUUUUUAAUUUUCAUUUAUUUAUUUUGAGAGGAGGGGAGGGGUAGAGAGAGAGGGUGAGACAGAAUCCCAAGCAGGCUCCUCACUGUCAGGACAGAAGAGUCCGACCCCAGGCUAGAUCUCACAAAUCGUGAGCUCAUGACCCGAGAUGAAGUCAGAUGCUUAACCAACUGAGCCACCCUAGGGCCCCCUACCAUUACUGUUUUCUAUUUGUUGUCCUUGUUUUUUGUUCCUAUUUAGUCUUCUACUCUUUUUCUGCCUUUCAUGGUUUUAACUGAAUGUUUUAUAUUAUACCAUUUUUUUCCUUUCAUAUACUUUUCUUAUUACUUUUUUAUUGACUGCCCUACAGUUUGUAAUACACAUUUACAACUAAUUCAAUUCCACGUUCAAAUAACACUAUACUGCUUCAUGGGUAUAAGGGUACUUUAUAAUAACAAAAUAAUCCUAAUUCUUCCUUUUUGUUCUUUGAAUGAUUGUUGUCAUACAUUUCACUUAUACAUAUGCCUACAAAAGGUUACCUAUCAAAUGUAGUAACAAUGCUGCUUUUAUUAUUUUGAACAAACUUUUAUCUGUUUAUUGUGUUGGUCCCAUUUUAUUGAUGGUGAUGUUCUCAGCUAGAAAUGCCUGAGGCACUUGGCUGGACUCCUAUAACUGAUAGGGAGCUGCACAGACAUGUCCCCCACUGGAGCCAAUGUAGUGAAUGAAUCUGCUCUUCUGGCUUCUAUUAUGAUCACAGAAUGCUCUUCAGCAAAAAUAUCAGGGAACAUCAGGGAACAAGAAUUAUUAUUCAUAGUUUCUGCAGGGUGCAUGGCAUGCUCAAGUGAGGGCAUGAAGAAGUCAGAGUGAGAUUGUGGGAAGAGAGAGGAGAGGACCCUUGGCUUUGCCUUUACUAGGGUCUGAUGGUAGAUUAUCUGGGGUUUUGAGGGAUUAUUCAUGAUUUGCCAAUUUGCAGCAUGACAGUGAGAAUUUCCCUUCCUCCACCUGGAAGGCUGGGACCAGCUGGAUUGAGUAUUUACCCUUCACGUGAAAGGAUAGAACCAGCUGGGUUGGGUAUUUUUUCUCCUCCAAUGGAAAGCUAGAACUAACUGGGCUGGGUGUAUCCCUUCCUCCACAAGGAAGAGUAGAACCAGCUGGUUGGUUAUUUCCCUUCCCCCAUGUCUAUUAGACUCUGGUAAACCCUCAGAGCUUAGGUUUGGUUAUAUGGUUUCUCCUGAGGACAGGCUUACUAAGAACCAAAUGUUCCCGUGUUUAUCAAGUGGUUCUCACUCCCCUCCAUGCCUGAAGCACAAAAGGAUUUUUAUUCAGUAAUCACUCAACUCAUCCAUUACAGUUCAGGUUUCCAUACCCAGACGCUCGUUCCUGAGAAGGUUUCUCCUCUGGUUUGAGAGCAUUGAGUGACAUCAUCAAAUCCAAACGAGAACUCUCCCAGUGAGCAUAGUCAGGACUUUGAGACAGUCUCUCAGAAAAAGAUAACUUUGUGGAGGUUUUCUUGAAGAAGAAUAAGAUAUAUUGCAAAAGUGGUAACAAUAAAAUAGAGCAGAUGGUAGAGAAGAGACUUGUUUAGAGAAGAAAACUGAAGAUUAUAUAGUAGUGAAGGAAUGGAGGAUGCAGCUUUCAAGUACCAAUGAGGACCUAUACUACACUGACUGACAUCUCUUCAAGACAUAGGAAAAUGGGGUUGAUUAUUUCUCACAUGUUGAUCAAGGUCACUGAGGAAAACAUAGUAUAAAAAGUUAAUAUUGUAGGAAAGACUUGACAUCAAAAAUGAAAUAAUGUUUGAUAUUGAAAAAGAUAUAUUAUCCCCAUAGCUCUGCCAAACUUAGUGUCUACACAAAUUAUUAUCUCUCUUUUAAGUGUCAGUAAGUUAUAGUUAUGUAAGUUACAGUUCUCUAAGGGCAGCUUUAACUGCUUUCUGUUACUUAGAAAUUUCCUCUGUUUUACUUCUCUCAGUCAAAAUGACUUCAAUUUUUACAAUGCCAUUUCCUUUUAUGUCAGAAUUGUGUGCCAUGGCAUAGAAUUUCCAACUGAAUAUACCUUUUCUCUUUCUCUCUACAAAUUAUAUAUACCAAAUGAAUAUCUUAUGUAUAACUUGCUAAAAUAAAGGAUGUCACUUUUCA